CAGAAUAUCACACAAUAAAAACUAAGAAGAAUGUAUCAGUGAAACUGCUUUGUGAUGGAUGAAUUCAGCUCAGAGAGUUAAACCAUUCUUUUGAUUCAGCAGUUUGGAAACCCUUUUGGUAGAAUCUGCGAAGGGACAUUUCAAAGUGCACUGAGGCCUAUAAUGAGAAAGAGAAUAUCCUACUAUAAAAAUUAGAAAGAAAUAUCUGUGAAACUGUUUGUGAUGAAUGAAUUCAGCCCACAGGAUUAAACCUUUCUUUAGAAUCAGCAGGUUGGCGACACACUUUUUGUAGAUUCUGUGAGAGGAUAUUUUGGAGCAUACUGAGGCAAAUAGUGAAAAUGGAAUAUCCCACAAUAAAAACUACAAGGAAGCUAUCUGUGAAACUACUUUGUGAUUUGUGGAUGCAGCUCAUAAAUUAAUACUUUCUUUUGAUUCAGUAGGUUGGAAACACUUUUUUUGUAGAAUCUGCGAAGUGACAUUUUGGAACGUGUGGAGGCCUAUAGUGAAAACCUGAAUAUCCUGUGAUAAAAACUAGAGAGAAUUUAUCUGUGAAACUGCUUUGUGACGUGUAGAUUCAGUCCACAGAGUUAAACCUUUUUGUUUGUUUGUUUCAGCAGUUUGGAAACACUCCUUUUGUAUGUAGAAUCAGCAGAGGGACAUUUCAGAGCACAGUAAGUCUUAUCAUGAAAAACAGAAUAUCUCGAGAUAAAAACUAGAAUGAAGCUAUCUGUGAAACUGCUUUGUGAUGUCUGCAUUCAGCUCACAGAAUUAAACCUUUCCUUUUAUUCUUCAGUUUGGAAAAACUUUUUUUAUAGAAUCUGCAAAGAGACAUUUCAAAGCCCACUUGGCCUAUAGUGAAAAACCUAAUAUCCCACAAAAUGUUAUGUAUGAAACUGCUUUUUAAUGUCUACAUUCAGCUCACAGAGUUAAACAUUUCUUUUGAGUCAUCAAGUUGGAAACACCCUUGUUGUAUAAACUGUGAAGGUACAUUUCAAAGGGCCAUAAGGCCUAUAGUGAAAAACUGAAUAGGCUGUGAUAAAAUCUUGAAAGAUGCUAUUUGUGACUGCUUUGUGAUGCCUGCAUUCAGCCCACAGAGUUAAAUCUUUCCUUUUAUUCAUCAGUUUGGAAACUGUUUUUUGUAGAAUCUUUGAAGGGGCAUUUUGGAGCCCACCAGACCCUUUGUGAAAAUCCUAAUAUCCCCAGAUAAAAACUGGAAAUAAGCUAUCUGUGAAACUGCUUUUUUAUGUGUGGUUUCAUCUGAGUUAAAUCUUUCUUUUGAUUCACCAGGUUGAAAUCUCUCUUUUUGUAGAAUCUGCAAAGGGACAUUUCUGAGUGCAGUAAGCCCUAAGUGAAAAACUGAAUAUCCCUAGAAAAAAGCUUAAAAAAUUAUCUGUGAAACUGCUUUGUGAUGUCUGCAUUCAGCUGACAAAGUUAAACCUUUCUUUUUCUCAACCAGUUUGGAAAAACUCUUUUUGUAGAAUCUACGAAGAGGCAUAUCAGAGUGCAGUGACUCCUAUGAUAAAAAAAAUGAGUAUCCUGCAAUAAAAACUAGAAACAAGCUGUCUGUGAAACUGCUUUGUGAUGUAUGGAUUCAGCUAACAGAGUUCAACCUUCCUUUUGAUUCAGCUGGUUGGAAUCACUUUUUAAAAAAUAUGCGAAUGGAUAUUUCAGAGCACUGUAAGGCCUUUAGUGAAAAACUGAAUAUCUCACAAUAAAAAUAAAAAGAAACUAUCUGUGAAACUGCUAUGUGAUGUGUGCAUUCAGCUCAAAGAGUUAAACAUUUCCUUUGAUUCAGCAGUUUGGAAACACUCUUUUUGUAGAAUCUUCAAAGGGACAUUUCAGGGUGCAGAAAAGCCUAUAGUGAAAAACCGAGUAUCCUGCAAUUAAUACUAGAAAGUAUCUAUCUGCAAAACUGCUUUCUAAUGUCUGCAUUCAGCUCACCAAGUUAAAGCUUUCUAUAAACUCAACAGUUUGGAAACAGCCUUUUUGUAGGAUCUGUGAGGGGACAUUUCUGAACCUACUAGGCCUAUAGUGAAAAUCAGAAUAUCCUGCUAUGAAAUCUAGAAGGAUGCUAUCUGGGAAACUGCUUUGUGAUGUUUGGAUUCAGCUCUCUGAUUUACACCAUUCUUUGAUUCAACAGUUUGGAAACACUCUUUUUGUAGAAUCUGUGAAAGGGCAUGUCAGAGCGCAAAAAGUCCUACAGUGGAAAGCCAAAUAUCUGGCAAUAAAAACUAGAAAAAAUUAUCUGUGAAACUGCUUUGUGAUGUGUGGAUUCAGCUCAAAAAGUUAAACUUUCUUUUGAUUCAGCAGUUUGAAGAAACUCUUUGUAGAAUCCACGAAGAAGAAACAUUUUGGAGGGCAUUGAGGCCAAAAGAGAAAAACUGAAUAUCCUCCAAUAAAAACUAGAAACAGACUAUCUGUGAAACUGCUUUGUGAUGUGUGGAUUCAGCUCACAAAGCUAAACUUCCGUUUCGAUUCAGCAGGUUGAAAACACUCUUUUUGCAGAAACUGUGAUUGGAUAUUUGAGUGCAUAGUAAGGCCUAUAGUGAAAAACUGAGUAUCCCUAGAUAAAAACUAGAAAGAAUUUAUCUUUGAAACUGCUUUCUGAUGUCUCCCUUCAGCUCACAGAGUUAUACCUUUCCUUUGAUUCAGCAGUUUGGCAACACUCUUUUUGUAGAAACCACAAAAGGACUUUUCAGAGCCCACUAGGCCCAUGUUAACAACUGAAAGAAGCUACCUGUGAAACUACUUUGUGAUGUGUGGAUUCAGCUCACAGAGUUGAACAUUUCUUUUGUUUCAUCACGUCAGAAACACUCUUUUUGUAGAAUCUAAGAACUGACAUUGAAAAACCCACUGAGGCCUACAGUGAAAUCUGAAUAUCUUUCAAUAAAAACUAAAAAGAAACUAUCUGUGAAACUGCUUCAUGAUGAGUGGAUUCAUCUCACAGAGUUAAAACUUUCUGUUGAUUUGACAGGUUGGAAACAUUCUUUUUGGAGAAUCAGUGAAGGGAAAUUUGGGAGCCCAUUAGGGCUUAUGGGAAAAAAAAUUAUCCCCAGAUAAAAACUACAAAGAAUCUAUCUGUGAAACUACCUUGUGAUGACUGCAUUGAGCUGACAGAGUUAAACCUUUCUUUUCAUUCAGCAGUUUGGAAACACUCUUUUUACAAAAUCAGCAAAGGGACAUUUCAAAGGGCAUUGGGACCUAUAGUGAAAAACUGAAUAUCCUACAAUGAAAACUUGAAGGAAGCUAUCUGUGAAACUGCUUUGUGAUGUGUGGAUUAAACUCACUUUGUUAAACUGUUCUUUUGAUUUAGCAGUUUGGAAAAAAUCCUUCUGUAGAAUCUGCAAAUGGACUUUUCAGAGCCCAGUAAGGACUGUAGUGAAAAACUGAAUAUCCCUAGAUAAAAAUAGAAAGAAUUUAUCUGUGAAACUGCUUUGUGAUGUCUGCAUUUAGCUCACAGAGUUAAAACUUUCUUUAGAUUCAGCUAAUUUCAAACACUCCUUUUGUAGAAUCUGAUAAGAGACAUUUUGGAGAACAGUGAGACCUGUAGCAAAAAAAAAAAAUCCUGUGAUGAAAACUAAUAAGAAGCUAUCUGUGAAACUCCUUUGUCAUGUGUGGAUUCAGCUCACAAACGUAAACCUUUCUUUUGAUUCAACAGCUUGGAAACACCCUUUCAUUUGAAUUUCUGAAGGGACGUUUUGGAGCACAGUGAGGCCUAUACAGAAAAACCUAAUAUCCUGCAAUAAAAACUAGAAAGAAUCUAUCUGAGAAACUGCUUCAUGAUGUCUGAAUUCAGCUCAAAGAGUUAAACCUGUCUUUUGACUCAGCAGUUUGAAAACACUGUUUCAGUAGAAUCUUCGAAGGGACAUUUUUGAGCCCACUAGUCCUCUGGGGAAAAAUCGAACAUCUGUGAAACUGCUUUGUGAUAUCUGCAUUCAGCUCACAGGGUUAAGCCUUUCUUUAAUUCAUGAGUUUGCAAACAUACUUUUUGUAGAACCUGCAAAAAGACAUUUCAGAGGACACUAAAACCUAUAGUGAAUAACUGAACAUCCUGCAAUGAAAACUUAAAAUAACCUGUCUGUGAAACUGCUUUGUGAUGUGUGGAUUCAGCUCACAGAGUUAAAAAUUUCUUUUGACUCAGCACUUUGGAGACACUUUUUUGAAAAAUCUGCAGAUGGACAUUUCAGAGAGCAGUAAGGCCUAUAGUGAAAAACUGAACAUCACACAAUAAAAACUAGAAAGAAGCUAUCUGUGAAACUGUGUUCUGAUGUGGGCAUCCAGCUCACUCUUUUUGUAGAAUCUUCAAAGAGACAUUUGACCCCAACGUGGACUAUGGUGAAAAAAACGAAUAUUCCACAAUAAAAUAUGAAAAAAUGCUAUCAGUGAAACUGCUUUGCUAUGUGUGGAUUCAUCUCACAGAGUUAAACCUUUCUUUUGAUUCAGUAGUUUGGAAACAAUCUUUUUGUAGGAUUUGCUGAUGGACACUUUGGAGCAAGAAUCUUCAAAGGAACAUUUUGGAGCCCACUGAUGCCUAUAUUGAAAUACCGAAUAUUCCACCAUAAAAACUAGAAAGAAGCUAUCUGUGAAACUGCUUUGUGAUGUGUGAACUCACCUUAAAAAGCUAAACCUUUCCUUUGAUUCAGCAUGUCAGAAACCCUCUUUUUGAAGCAUCUACAAAGGGACAGUUGAGAUCCCAUUGAGGCCUAUAGUGAAAAAUGGAAUAUCCUGCAAAAAAAACUAGAAAGAGUCUAACUGUAAAGCCGCUUUGGGAUGUGCGGAUUCAUUUCACCAAGAUAAACAUUUCUUUUGUUUCAGCAGGUUGAAAGCACUCUAUGUAUAGAAUUUACAAAUGGACAUUUCAGAACUUUAUGUGGCCUAUAGUGAAAUUCCAAAUAUACCAUGAUAAAAACUAUAAAGAAGCUAUUUGUGAAACCACUUUGUGUGUGUGGAUUUAGCUUACAGAGUUGAACCUUUCUUUUGAUUCAGCUGGGUGGAAACACUCUUUUUGUAGGAUCUGUGAAAG
rnacentral:lncRNA from 10 species